UCUUUAGCUCAGUCAGUAGAGCAUGAGACUCGUAAUCUCAAGAUCAUGUGUUUGAGUCCCACUGGGCAAAA